rnacentral:lncRNA from 1 species
UUCUUCUAUUAAUGAUUAACUCAAAUACUAAUAUACCAAUCCACUCUUGAUCUGAGAACUAGGGCAUCUUCUCAUCCAAGUGAUGGCUCCCUCAAUUUUGAGCGAGAUCUUAUGGCAAUUCGGUGAAAAUAUAUAAUAGAAAAUCAAGAAAACACGAUGAUUGGUGGUAAUGGAGGAGGCUUCAACAGUGGAAUGCUUAGAGCGGGCAAUA